rnacentral:piRNA from 1 species
GAGACAUGUGAAGAUGGCCACGUAGUGCUU